rnacentral:rRNA from 1 species
UAGGGAAUAUUAGAAAUGGACGAAAGUCUGAUCUAGCAACACCGCGUGUGCGAUGAAGGCCUUCGGGUUGUAAAGCACUUUUUGGAAGGAUUAGGAAGGAAUGUACUUCCAGAAUAAGUCUCGGCUAACUACGUGCCAGCAGCCGCGGUAACACGUAGGAGGCGAACGUUAUCCGGAUUUACUGGGCGUAAAGCGCGUGUAGGUGGUUCUGUAAGUAGGGCGUGAAAGCUCCUGGCUCAACUGGGAGAGGCCGUUCUAAACUGCAGAGCUAGAGGAUGGUAGAGGGAGGUGGAAUUCCGGGUGUAGCGGUGGAAUGCGCAGAUAUCCGGAGGGACACCAGUGGCGAAGGCGGCCUCCUGGACCAUUCCUGACACUCAGACGCGAGAGCUAGUGUAGCAAACGG